GGUCUGUUAGUUCAUCGGUGAGAAUGUUGCCUUGUCACGGCAGAGAGAGGAGUUCGAUUCUCCUACAGACCGCCA
rnacentral:tRNA from 1 species